UACGAAGGGGGCUAGCGUUGCUCGGAAUCACUGGGCGUAAAGGGUGCGUAGGUGGUCGUUUAAGUCCGUUGUGAAAGCCCUGGGCCCAACCUGGGAACUGCAGUGGAUACUGGACAACUAGAGUGUGGUAGAGGGUAGCGGAAUUCCCGGUGUAGCAGUGAAAUGCGUAGAGAUCGGGAGGAACAUCCAUGGCGAAGGCAGCUACCUGGACCAAUACUGACACUGAGGCACGAAAGCGUGGGGAGCAAACAGG
rnacentral:rRNA from 1 species